AGUGAACGCUGGCGGUAGGCCUAACACAUGCAAGUCGAACGGCAGCACAGUAAGAGCUUGCUCUUACGGGUGGCGAGUGGCGGACGGGUGAGGAAUACAUCGGAAUCUACUUUUUCGUGGGGGAUAACGUAGGGAAACUUACGCUAAUACCGCAUACGACCUACGGGUGAAAGCAGGGGAUCUUCGGACCUUGCGCGAUUGAAUGAGCCGAUGUCGGAUUAGCUAGUUGGCGGGGUAAAGGCCCACCAAGGCGACGAUCCGUAGCUGGUCUGAGAGGAUGAUCAGCCACACUGGAACUGAGACACGGUCCAGAGUCCUACGGGAGGCAGCAGUGGGGAAUAGUGGACAAUGGGCGCAAGCCUGAUCCAGCCAUACCGCGUGGGUGAAGAAGGCCUUCGGGUUGUAAAGCCCUUUUGUUGGGAAAGAAAAGCAGCAGGUUAAUACCCCGCUGUUCUGACGGUACCCAAAGAAUAAGCACCGGCUAACUUCGUG
rnacentral:rRNA from 1 species